rnacentral:rRNA from 1 species
GAUGAACGCUGGCGGCGUGCCUAAUACAUGCAAGUCGAGCGAACAGACGAGGAGCUUGCUCCUCUGACGUUAGCGGCGGACGGGUGAGUAACACGUGGAUAACCUACCUAUAAGACUGGGAUAACUUCGGGAAACCGGAGCUAAUACCGGAUAAUAUAUUGAACCGCAUGGUUCAAUAGUGAAAGACGGUUUUGCUGUCACUUAUAGAUGGAUCCGCGCCGCAUUAGCUAGUUGGUAAGGUAACGGCUUACCAAGGCGACGAUGCGUAGCCGACCUGAGAGGGUGAUCGGCCACACUGGAACUGAGACACGGUCCAGAAUCCUAAGGGAGGCAGCAGUAGGGAAUCUUCCGCAAUGGGCGAAAGCCUGACGGAGCAACGCCGCGUGAGUGAUGAAGGUCUUCGGAUCGUAAAACUCUGUUAUUAGGGAAGAACAAAUGUGUAAGUAACUAUGCACGUCUUGACGGUACCUAAUCAGAAAACCACGGCUAACUACGU